rnacentral:rRNA from 1 species
AUUGAACGCUGGCGGCAGGCCUAACACAUGCAAGUCGAGCGAGCGGCGGACGGGUGAGUAAUGUAUGGGGACUGCCCGAUAGAGGGGGAUAACUACUGGAAACGGUGGCUAAUACCGCAUACUAUCGGAUAACCCAUAUGGGAUUAGCUAGUAGGUGGGGUAAAGGCUCACCUAGGCGACGAUCUCUAGCUGGUCUGAGAGGAUGAUCAGCCACACUGGGACUGAGACACGGCCCAGAAUCCAACGGAGGCAGCAGUGGAGAUUAUAGCACAAUGGGCGAAAGCCUGAUGCAGCCAUGCCGCGUGGAUGAAGAAGGCCUUAGGGUUGUAAAGUACUUUCAGCGGAGAGGCGUUACCCGCAGAAGAAGCACCGGCUAACUACGUGCCAGCAGCGGCGGUAAUUC